GAUGAACGCUGGCGGCGUGCUUAACACAUGCAAGUCGAACGAUGAUGCCCAGCUUGCUGGGUGGAUUAGUGGCGAACGGGUGAGUAACACGUGAGUAACCUGCCCUUGACUCUGGGAUAAGCCUGGGAAACUGGGUCUAAUACCGGAUACGACCAUCUGGCGCAUGUCAUGGUGGUGGAAAGCUUUUGUGGUUUUGGAUGGACUCGCGGCCUAUCAGCUUGUUGGUGGGGUAAUGGCCUACCAAGGCGACGACGGGUAGCCGGCCUGAGAGGGUGACCGGCCACACUGGGACUGAGACACGGCCCAGACUCCUACGGGAGGCAGCAGUGGGGAAUAUUGCACAUUGGGCGCAAGCCUGAUGCAGCGACGCCGCGUGAGGGAUGACGGCCUUCGGGUUGUAAACCUCUUUCAGUAGGGAAGAAGCGAAAGUGACGGUACCUGCAGAAGAAGCGCCGGCUAACUACGUG
rnacentral:rRNA from 1 species